UGAGGAAUAUUGGUCAAUGGGCGGGAGCCUGAACCAGCCAAGUCGCGUGAAGGAAGAAGGAUCUAUGGUUCGUAAACUUCUUUUGCAGGGGAAUAAAGUGCAGGACGUGUCCUGUUUUGUAUGUACCCUGAGAAUAAGGAUCGGCUAACUCCGUGCCAGCAGCCGCGGUAAUACGGAGGAUCCGAGCGUUAUCCGGAUUUAUUGGGGUUAAAGGGUGCGUAGGUGGCUUGAUAAGUCAGCGGUGAAAGUUUGCAGCUUAACUGUAAAAAUGCCGUUGAAACUGUCGGACUUGAGUGUAAAUGAGGUAGGCGGAAUGCGUGGUGUAGCGGUGAAAUGCAUAGAUAUCACGCAGAACUCCGAUUGCGAAGGCAGCUUACUAAGCUACAGCUGACACUGAAGCACGAAAGCGUGGGGAUCAAACA
rnacentral:rRNA from 1 species